rnacentral:rRNA from 1 species
AGUAAACGCUGGCGGCGUGCUUAACACAUGCAAGUCGAACGAGAACGGAUUAUAGCUUGCUAUAAUUGUCAGCUAAGUGGCGCACGGGUGAGUAAUGUAUAGGUAAUAUGCCUCUUACUAAGGGAUAACAAAUGGAAACGUUUGCUAAUACCUUAUACUCCUUAUUAACAGAAGUUAAUAAGGGAAAGAUUUAUUGGUAAGGGAUUAGCCUGUAUUGUAUCAGUUAGUUGGUGGGGUAAUGGCUUACCAAGACUAUGACACAUAACUGGUUUGAGAGGAUGAUCAGUCACACAGGAACUGAGACACGGUCCAGACUCCUACGGGAGGCAGCAGUGGGGAAUAUUGCACAAUGGACGAAAGUCUGAUGCAGCAACGCCGCGUGGAGGAUGACACAUUUCGGUGCGUAAACUCCUUUUAUAUGAGAAGAUAAUGACGGUAUUAUAUGAAUAAGCACCGGCUAACUCCGUGCCAGCCGCCGCCGUAAUAC